rnacentral:rRNA from 1 species
UACGUAGGGAGCAAGCGUUGUCCGGAAUCAUUGGGCGUAAAGCGCGCGUAGGUGGCUUCGUAAGUCCGUUGUGAAAGUCAAAGGCUCAACCUUUGAAAGCCGAUGGAUACUGCGGAGCUAGAGUACGGAAGAGGCGAGUGGAAUUCCUGGUGUAGCGGUGGAAUGACGCAGAUAUCAGGAGGAACACCAAUAGCGAAGGCAGCUCGCUGGGACGUUAACUGACACUGAGGCGCGAA